AUUGAACGCUGGCGGCAGGCCUAACACAUGCAAGUCGAGCGGCUGAAGGGAACUUGCUCGUUGUUUCAGCGGCGGACGGGUGGGUGAUGCCUAGGAACCUGCCUGUUUGUGGUGGAUAACGUCCGGACACAGGCGCUCAUACCCCAUUCGCCCUGAGGACGAAAGUGGGGGAUCUUCGGACCUUCCGCUCUCACAUGAGCCUAGGACGGAUUAGCUAGUUGGGGGGGUAACGGCCUACCAAGCCGACGAUCCGUAACUGGUCUGAGAGGAUGAUCAGUAAAACUGGAAUGGAGACACGGCCCAGACUCCUAGGGGAGGCAGCAGUGGGGAAUAUUGGAAAAGGGGCGAAAGCCUGAUCCAGCCAUGCGGCGGGUUGGAAGAAGGUCUUCGGAUGGUAAAGCACUUUGUGGUGGGAGAAAGGGCAGAAAGUUAAUACCCGGUGGUUUGGAGGUAACCAACAGAAUAAGCACCGGCAAAUUUCGG
rnacentral:rRNA from 1 species